GACGAACGCUGGCGGCGUGCUUAACACAUGCAAGUCGAACGGAAAGGCCCUGCUUUUGUGGGGUGCUCGAGUGGCGAACGGGUGAGUAACACGUGAGUAACCUGCCCUUGACUUUGGGAUAACUUCAGGAAACUGGGGCUAAUACCGGAUAGGAGCUCCUGCUGCAUGGUGGGGGUUGGAAAGUUUCGGCGGUUGGGGAUGGACUCGCGGCUUAUCAGCUUGUUGGUGGGGUAGUGGCUUACCAAGGCUUUGACGGGUAGCCGGCCUGAGAGGGUGACCGGCCACAAUGGGAAUGAGAUACCGGCCAGACUCCUACGGGAGGCAGCAGUGGGGAAUAUUGCACAAUGGGCGGAAGCCUGAUGCAGCAACGCCGCGUGCGGGAUGACGGCCUUCGGGUUGUAAACCGCUUUCGCCUGUGACGAAGCGUGAGUGACGGUAAUGGGUAAAGAAGCACCGGCUAACUACGUG
rnacentral:rRNA from 1 species